UACGGGAGGGGCAAGCGUUACUCAUCAUGACUGGGCGUAAAGAGUCCGUAGACUGUAAAGUAAGUUACUUGUAUUAAAAAUUUAAGCUUAACUUAAAACUAGCUUGUAAUACUGCUUUACUUGAGUUUCAUACAGAAGAGUAGAAUUUUAUACGUAAGGGUAAAAUCUGAAGAUAUAUAAAGGAAUGCCGUUAGCGAAGGCGACUCUUUAGUAAAAACUGACGUUGAGGGACGAAAGUGUGGGGAGCAAACAGG
rnacentral:rRNA from 1 species